rnacentral:rRNA from 1 species
AAUGAUACCCAGGUAGUCCACGCCGUAAACGAUGAGUGCUAAGUGUUAGAGGGUUUCCGCCCUUUAGUGCUGCAGCUAACGCAUUAAGCACUCCGCCUGGGGAGUACGGUCGCAAGACUGAAACUCAAAGGAAUUGACGGGGGCCCGCACAAGCGGUGGAGCAUAUGGUUUAAUUCGAAGCAACGCGAAGAACCUUACCAGGUCUUGACAUCCUCUGACAACUCUAGAGAUAGAGCGUUCCCCUUCGGGGGACAGAGUGACAGGUGGUGCAUGGUUGUCGUCAGCUCGUGUCGUGAGAUGUUGGGUUAAGUCCCGCAACGAGCGCAACCCUUGAUCUUAGUUGCCAGCAUUUAGUUGGGCACUCUAAGGUGACUGCCGGUGACAAACCGGAGGAAGGUGGGGAUGACGUCAAAUCAUCAUGCCCCUUAUGACCUGGGCUACACACGUGCUACAAUGGAUGGUACAAAGGGCUGCAAGACCGCGAGGUCAAGCCAAUCCCAUAAAACCAUUCUCAGUUCGGAUUGU